CCUACGGGAGGCAGCAGUGGGGGAUAUUGCACAAUGGGGGGAACCCUGAUGCAGCGACGCCGCGUGGGUGAAGGAGUAUUUCGGUAUGUAAAGCCCUAUCGGCAGGGAAGAAGCAAGACGGUACCUGACUAAGAAGCCCCGGCUAACUACGUGCCAGCAGCCGCGGUAAUACGUGGGGGGCGAGCGUUAUCCGGAUUCACUGGGUGUAAAGGGAGCGUAGACGGCCAUGCAAGCCAGGGGUGAAAGCCCGGGGCCCAACCCCGGGACUGCCCUUGGAACUGCAUGGCUGGAGUGCGGGGGGGGCAGGCGGAAUUCCUGGUGUAGCGGUGAAAUGCGUAGAUAUCAGGAGGAACACCGGCGGCGAAGGCGGCCUGCUGGACCGCGACUGACGUUGAGGCUCGAAAGCGUGGGGAGCGAACAGGAUUAGAUACCCGGGUAGUC
rnacentral:rRNA from 1 species